UAAAAGGUAGGGUGUCAAACCCUAGAGUUAUAACCCUAAACACUGUAGAGUAAUAGAGAAAAUCUCUGAUAUUUUAUUAA
rnacentral:sRNA from 1 species